GCCAUGAAUUUAUUUAAUUACAUAGAUGUUAUUUUGUUCCAUAUCUAAUAUACCUGUAGGUCUUUUGGAAUAUUUACGUAAGCCAUUUGUUUUAAAUCUUCCGAUAUAUUCAGACCUGUUCUAUUGGUAAUUUCCGAAAUCUGAACAAACUUGUCGGACAACCUAAUAAAACCAAUCGGUCUUGGUUUUUUUUCAGAAAAUUACAAGGAAGGUCAUAGUCUGCCUGUUCGCCUUAAGCGCGAUCGCUCUCGCUCGUCCGGAUGAGAAGUACACUGACCGCUACGACAAUAUCGAUCUGGAUGAAAUUCUCGGCAACAAACGUAUUCUAGGCAACUACUUCAAAUGUAUCAUGGACUAAGGAAAGUGUUCUCCCGAUGGCACUGAACUCAAAUCACACUUGCAAGAAGCCCUCGAAAACGAAUGCGCCAAAUGCACAGACGUGCAGAAGAAUGGCACAGAGAAAGUGAUCGGUCAUCUUAUUAACAAAGAGCCGGAACUUUGGAACCAACUCACCGCCAAGUUCGAUCCUGAAAGCAAAUAUAGGGUAAAAUACGAGGAGCGCUUGAAAACUUUAUCUAACUGAUUCAAAUAAUGAGUCCUUUGAAAUAUGAACUUAUUUUUUGUAAAUCAUUGCUGUCUUUUACGGAUGAAUAAAGAAAUUAUUUUAAAUU